GACAAACGCUGGCGGCGUGCUUAACACAUGCAAGUCGAACGGGAUUUUGAGGAGCUUGCUCCUUGAAAUUCAGUGGCAAACGGGUGAGUAACGCGUAAACAACCUGCCUUUAGGAUGGGGGCAACAGACGGAAACGACUGCUAAUACCGAAUACGUUCUCUUCUCCGCAUGAAGAAGGGAAGAAAGGAUGGCCACUCGAAGAAGCUAUCGCCUGAAGAGGGGUUUGCGUCUGAUUAGG
rnacentral:rRNA from 1 species